ACAACUCUAGAGAUAGAGCCUUCCCCUUCGGGGGACAAAGUGACAGGUGGUGCAUGGUUGUCGUCAGCUCGUGUCGUGAGAUGUUGGGUUAAGUCCCGCAACGAGCGCAACCCUUAAGCUUAGUUGCCAUCAUUAAGUUGGGCACUCUAAGUUGACUGCCGGUGACAAACCGGAGGAAGGUGGGGAUGACGUCAAAUCAUCAUGCCCCUUAUGAUUUGGGCUACACACGUGCUACAAUGGACAAUACAAAGGGCAGCGAAACCGCGAGGUCAAGCAAAUCCCAUAAAGUUGUUCUCAGUUCGGAUUGUAGUCUGCAACUCGACUACAUGAAGCUGGAAUCGCUAGUAAUCGUAGAUCAGCAUGCUACGGUGAAUACGUUCCCGGGUCUUGUACACACCGCCCGUCACACCACGAGAGUUUGUAACACCCGAAGCCGGUGGAGUAACCUUUUAGGAGCUAGCCGUCGAAGGUGGGACAAAUGAUUGGGGUGAAGUCGUAACAAGGUAGCCGUAUCGGAAGGUGCGGCU
rnacentral:rRNA from 1 species